AUUGAACGCUGGCGGCAGGCCUAACACAUGCAAGUCGAGCGAGCGGCGGACGGGUGAGUAAUGUAUGGGGACUGCCCGAUAGAGGGGGAUAACUACUGGAAACGGUGGCUAAUACCGCAUACUAUCGGCAAACCCAUAUGGGAUUAGCUAGUAGGUGGGGUAAAGGCUCACAGAGGCGACAAUCUCUAGCGGGUCGGAGAGGUGGAUCAGCAACACUGGACAUGAGCCACGGUCCAGACUCCUACGGAGGAAGCAGUGGGUAAUAUGGCACAUUGGGCGAAAGCAUGAUGCAGCCAUGCCGCGUGUAUGAAGAAGGCCUUAGGGUUUUAAAGUACUUUCCGCGGGGAGGCGUUACCCGCAGAAGAAGCACCGGCUAACUCCGUGCCAGCAGCCGCGGUAAUAC
rnacentral:rRNA from 1 species